UGGGGAAUAUUGGGCAAUGGGCGAAAGCCUGACCCAGCGACGCCGCGUGGGUGAUGAAGGCCUUCGGGUUGUAAAGCCCUGUCAUGCGGAAAGAACGACCCUGAGACGCAUACUCUCAGGGAGCGACGGUACCGCAGGAGGAAGCACCGGCUAACUCCGUGCCAGCAGCCGCGGUAAUACGGAGGGUGCAAGCGUUGUUCGGAAUUAUUGGGCGUAAAGGGCGCGUAGGCGGUAAUGUAAGUCAGAUGUGAAAUACUCCGGCUCAACCAGAGAACAACAUCUGAAACUGCAUAACUAGAGUACAGAAGAGGGAAACGGAAUUCCCGGUAUAGAGGUGAAAUUAGUAGAUAUCGGGAGGAACACCAGUGGCGAAGGCGGUUUCCUGGUCUGAUACUGACGCUGAGGCGCGAAAGCGUGGGGAGCAAACAG
rnacentral:rRNA from 1 species